GCACAACAGCAUAACAGAAACUCCGGGCAUUCGGGUUUCGCUCCUUCAGCUAUGGUGCUCCACAGUUGUGGAAUCAACUCCCGACUGAACUCAAAAUGUCUCCCUCCAUUGACUCAUUUAAAA